rnacentral:misc_RNA from 1 species
UCCCCUUCAGUCGUCGGCGCAAGAGCAACGUCACAGCCUUGGCCGCCCGCGGGUUUCCUGUGUUGCAUACCUAUCGGAAGGCAUUCGGUCGCCACAACGUUGGACGUUCUCCCAGCGCUGCCCUGCCCCUCGUGGGUGGGUGCGGCGUGGGGUGAACCGCGAAGGCGGGUUCGUGUUCCGGGGCGCGGCCGUGCACUGCGUCCCGUCUCGGCCCAUGAGCUGCCGCCUGAGCUCUCGGAUGCGGAACACCAGGNGGGCAGGAGGCGUGCGGCCUCCGUUUGCCCGAACCAUCGGCGUCAAUUGACGCCCGCAUCGAACGACUGCCGUCGUCGCCUCGAGACGCCGC